CUAUCCUCUCUCUCUCUCUCGACAAACCGUAGCCACCCUUCUAUCUCUCUCUCUCUCUCUUGACAAACAGCCAUGUUCAUUAUGUUCUUUUCUUCCUCUGUUGCGCAAAACCAAUUGCCACCACUCUCCAGUCUCUCAUAUUUCUCUUCAUUGUUCAAUCACCUCAUGAAUAACUUCACAAAAACAAGGUUUCAAUUCUCAGAUUUCAAGAUCUUGAUUUAAGUGGAAGUUGGGGGUGGCUUGGGGGGAAGCUACGGUGGCUCGAGGGGAGCAAAGGGAGUCUGAGGCUGAGAUAAAGUGGUGGAGCAGAGGCGCGUGGAGCUGCGGUGGAAGGGUGGUGCAGAGAUGCGGUGGCUUGGUGAGGAGAACGAAUAAGAGUUGUGGGGAUCGAAUUGGCUUUUACUUGGCAUGGAUCUGAUCUGAAUAUAUAGCUAGCCGAACCUAGCUAGCCCUUCACAUGUUUCUACUUGUCUGAUCGAUUUGGGGUUUCGGUGUGGUGAAAAAAGAAAGAAAAACAAAUUGAAACCCGCCCAGCCGCCCAGACGAACGCCCAGACCGCCCAGACCGCCCAACCGCCCAGACGGACGUCCAGGCCACCUAAAUCCAUUCUGCCUAAGAGCUCCGUUUAGCUAAUACUCGCCUCGGUCUCCCGCCGCCCAGCGCCUAGGCGGCCGUUUUUUUAGAACACUGGACAUAUUGAAUCGAUGCUCAAAAUCAUAUCUAGGGAAAGAUCUGCGGUCGAUAGUGUUUUGAGGCAAAGGUAUGGCCGAAGUUGCUGGACCUAAUUCUUUACGCCUGCUGCUGUGAAGGUUGGUGGCAGAACGAUGAAGGUUGGCCUAGUGAAAAGAAAGACGCCUUCAGAACUGCGAGUAAGUUUUCCAAUUCAUGGAUGUUUUGUAUAGAAAUGGGCACUGGGUCAUGGAUAACUGGAGGAGGAGGAGUUAGACUGAUUUUUUAAGGUACUCUCGUUGUUGCUUUGAAGCUUUGAAUUUGAUAAUGUAAUUGAAAUUGUUUUGAAUUUUUCUGGUUGUUUUCUUGUUAAAUUGAUUGGAUGGUUAUGUUGCUUCAUUGUUUCAAUUCUGUUGCCAAUUUUGUUGUGAAGCAAUGCUAGAGGUUUUGAUUUGGUUACGCUUAGAAUGGUGUGGUUACAUUCAAGUUUAGUUCUUUCCGAGCAAUGAUAAUCUGUAAACUAUGAACAUGGAUAAGUAAUCACGUACAGAACACUCUUAUAAAAUACACUGAUAAAGAAACAGAAAGGACCAAUGAUUCCACCAAUGUCUGAAAGUGAUAUCUGUUUUCUUUUCUCAAUUCAAUGCUAAUUAAUUGUGUAGGUAUGAUCAUUAGCGCUUGGAUAAUCCAGACAGGCUUCCUACUGGACUGAAUACUAGAUCAGUUUAACUUAAGAGGAUAAUUGAUUGAAUGGUGAAACCAAUUGAGAUAACUUUUUGCUACUUAUAUUUACUUCCGGUCAGAAAAUUACACGAUUAUACUGAAGCUUAAUGAUAAGGGAUCACUAGAAUUUUGGAGGUUUACUACUUCUUUGCCAUUAUUGUGGGACUGUUCUAUACUGUUAUAUUAGUUGAAAUACAUAUCAUGAAUAAAUCUGCGUACCUAAAGUUAGUAUAUGGUGCUACCAUCUGCCUAUUGCAAAGAAAACUUAAUACAUAGCUUAGUGAUCAUACUUAAGAUUUAAGUUGAAGUGUAUAUUUGAGAAGUCUUGGGAAAUAUGAUGGGCCAUUAUACGUAAUAAGUUUCUCAUUUGUAAUGUCUGCAUGACAGUAAGAGCAGUUGACGUGGAUGAAUGUUGUGGAGAUUACGGAUGAAUCUCCAGCCCAUUUGCUUGGUUCUACAAAGUAAAAUUGGUCAAAGUGUACAAACAUGAGUUUUUAAGUAUUUGACUUCUUUGUAGUUUUGGUUUCUAAAAUUACUAACUUUUUUUUUUGGCUCAAUCCACAAAGGGGUAUGGCUAUCAGUAACUCUUGUAUACUUUAUAAAAGGCUAGAGAUUGCAGCCAAAAGCAUGGAAAAAGGUGUAGCUAAAGCUAGUCAAGCAAAUGAAAACUAUAGUGAAAAUACUUUCAGUAGUGUUACUGGGAUUUCAUCGACUGGUGAUAGGUCAUUUGGCUUUGGAUUUGUUGUUGUGGUUGAACUAUAUGGAGAGGUCUUGGGAAACAGGAUGAGGCUAGGAUGCAGCUCUGGCAGUAACUGUUGCUGCGGAAGUUGUCAAAACAAUGGUUGCCAAGGGAUAGUUCUGGGACAAGAUGCAUUAAUCAAGGGGAUUUGUUAAAACAAUGAGUCCUAUCAAGUAUCGGUUGCUACAACGUCUAAGGUUUAUCAAUUAGCAAUUGAAUAUGGCUCAUCAAGGCAAAGAAGCUUUUCAAUCACCUCAAUAGCUCAGAGUAUGUAGGUCAUGAUACUUAGCCAACUGGGCGUCAGCAACUCAGCAAUAUGUAUUUCAAUUUUUGAAUGUUUUUGUAUUUUUCAAGAUU